UGCAUUGGUAUGUUCAGCAGAUAGAGCCUGGUCAUUGCACUCCCUUCUGAAGCAUAGUUGGUGAGGGCUGUCUUGCCAGUGCUAUGCAAUGUAUUCCUCUUCAUCCCUUGCUUGUUUCCUUGGGUGGACCGCCUCACCCACAAUCCCAGGCUGCAUCCCAGCUGGUUAACCUAGGCAGAAAGGGGAGGCAAUUUCUAUCAGGGCUAUGGGCCAUCCUCAUUUCCAAAUUCCUGCUUUAUUUCCUCUCUUUCAGGUCAUCCCAGAAAUCCGACCCAUGUUGCCCCGUGUCCUGGGGGACCCAUGUUGCACCAUGUUCUGGGGGACCCUCUGGGGGAAAAGCCCAAUGAGGCAACCUUGGUGCCAGGACCCCUUCCAGGACUUCAUGUCCCCACUGACAUUAUGGGGAAAGAGCUCAAUGAGGAAACUUCAAUGCUAGGAUCACUCCCAGAACCUCGCGUCCCCACUGAUAUUCUGGAGCAAGAGCUCAAUGAGGAAAUGUUGGUGCCAAGAUCCCUUCCAGGACCUUGCAUCACCAAUGACAUUCUGGGGAAAGAGCUCAAUGAAGCAACCUUGGUGCCAGGACUCCUUCCAGGACCUCACAUUUCCACUGAUAUUCUGGAGGAAAUGCUCAAUGAGGAAACCUCAAUGCCAGGAUCUCUUCCAGGACCUCGCGUCCACACUGAUAUUCUGGAGGGAGAACUCAAUGAGGCAACUUCAGUGCCAGGAUCCCUUCCAGGACCUCACAUCACCAAUGACAUUCUGGGGGAAGAGGUCAAUGAGGAAACCUCAGUGCCAGGUCCUUCCAUCCCCACUGGCACUCCAAAGGAAGCAGCUUUUGUGUCAGAGCCCUUACCAGAGCCUUCCAUUGCUGACAAUUAUCUUGAGCAAGAAAUAGUAAUCCUCAAAGGAUUACAGAAUGACUAUGUCCAGCGGCAAAUGAGGGUUCACCACAUUUCCCAACAGUUCCCUCAUUUUCUCCGGGCCAUCAACCUGCAAAUUGGACACACACGGACAAGGCUCAUCCGCAGUGAAGUUCGGCUGCAACGGUGGGGAAAGGAAGGUGACCAAGCUCUGAUGCCUGUAAUUUAGACAGCUUCUCAUGGUGAGCAGUGAGGGCAAGUGAUGGCGGGUGUGGUAGUAUGCCAGCGUUUGCAGCUGACCACCUGUUGCUUCUUCUCUCUCGCAGAUGUUCCUGAAGGCCCUGCUGCAUGUCUCCGCCCCCCUGGGUCCAGUUCAUCAUUAUCUUCUGCCUCGCUGGAAGUUGGCUCCAUCCCACCCUCCACCUCCACCUCUUCUUUCCUCCUGCAUCCCUCUCCCCCUCCUUCUCCUUCCCCAUCUCCUCUAGAGCCGGACCUCAGCAAUGUGAGAGAAACUCUGCAGAGUUUGAUGGAUUUGCAGUUCCAUCAGCUGAAUGACUGCCAAAGAGACUUCCGCAGCUGCCAGGAAUGUUUGCAAAACCUCAAGGCACUGAGGGGACAGCUCCGGAGACUGCGGAGCAGACUGGCAAGGGUGGAAGCCACUAUGGGGAUCCUGGUUCCUCCAAGGGAGCUGGAUGUUGAUGAGGAAAAAGAGAAAGACAGAAACCAGACAGUGCUUCAUACAUAGGUAGCAAUAAAAUGCUGCAUAUUUAUUUCAAAAAUAUUAAACAUUUGUUUUAAUAGGAUAGGAUGUAGAGAUAAAACAGCAAUAGAACAUGCAUAUUUACUGCUUAAAAAUUAAAAAGUUGAU